AUUGAACGCUGGCGGCAGGCCUAACACAUGCAAGUCGAACGAGUGGCGGACGGGUGAGUAAUGUCUGGGAAUCUGGCUUAUGGAGGGGGAUAACUACGGGAAACUGUCGCUAAUACCGCGUACCAUCGGAUGUGCCCAAGUGGGAUUAGGUAGUUGGUGGGGUAAUGGCCAACCAAGCCGACGAUCCCUAGCUGGUCUGAGAGGAUGACCGGCCAAACGGGAACUGGACCACGGCCAGGAUCCCAACGGGGGGAGGCAGUGGGGAAUAUUGCGAAAUGGGGGCAGCCUGGACGCAGCAAGGCCGGGGGGUGGAGGAGGGCUUUCGAGUUGUAAAGUUCGUUGGGAGAGGAGGCGUUAAUCACAGAGGAAGCACCGGCUAACUCCGUGCCAGCAGCCGCGGUAAUUC
rnacentral:rRNA from 1 species